UUGUGUGCUUAUUAUGUUCUCUGCACUUCCUUUCAAUUUGAUUUUCAGUUUAGAUCUGAUUUGCUUUUAUAUUUGCUUUUCGUUUUUGGUCCAAUUGUAUUUGAUUUUAAUUUUUGGUAAAGUUUGAAUUUGAAGGGUUCAUGCCCUAGCCCUGUAGAAUUGCCUCUGCAUUGAUUAAGCUAUUGAUUGUUGUGUUUUGAUUGAGAUAUUGAUUAAAUUUUGGCUUUGGUCAUACUUCUUGAUCUCAAAAGGUGAAUUGGAAAUUCCUACAAAAUUGAUCUCAAGCUUGCUUGGAGAUUAUAAAACCUUGCAGAUUUCUGGCUUUAAUAACCCUACAAUGUUGUAGUUGGUCAUGCAAGGAAGUCCACAAGCUGUAAGCGACGAUAGACUGCGACUAAUGGCUUACAUAGUCCUGUCCAAGUUAAGACACCUACAAUGAUUCGAGCAGAGGAGGUCCAGUUCACUGCAAUGGCUGAUGCUGCACGCCCUGCAUAUAUUUUAGAGACAAGGAAAACAGCUCCAGGCUUACGUCUAGUGGACUAAGUGGGAUGUGUGGAUCACUUAUUUUGGCUUUCUCCUUCGUAGUUGCACUGUAUCUAUUAUCCUUUCUUAAUUAAAUUCUUUUUGGUAAUCUUUUGUCUCUCUUAACAGGUACUAAUAGGUGGAGGGUGGAAUCACAGAAUGCAUUUAUUUGAUAUGGUGAUGAUAAAAGAUAAUCAUAUAUCAGUAGCUGGAGGUGUCAAAGAUGCUCUCAGAUCUGUGGACCUGUAUUUAGAGCAAAACAAUCUUCAUAUGGGGGUCGAGUUAUUAUUAAAUGAAAUAUCAUUUGGGACCUGAGACUACCAUCCUUGCUAAGAAUUAUACUGUUGGAACGUCGACGUGGAACAUCAAACUAGUCAAGGUGAGCAUCAAAAAGAUCGACAUUAGAGUUUACUUAAAGUCAACCUUUUUGUGAAGACCAUCCGAAGAUGCGCCUCGGUGUUGAGGCUUUAACUUUAGCUUUUGGUCAAGCUUUGUUAAGCUUUGGUUAUGUCAAAUUUUGUACUAUUGUGUAUGUGACCUUGGGAUGUAUAAUAUAAAUGUCUGUAUAUAUUAUGAGUGUGUUAUGAACUGUUUUAAUUAUUUCUAUUUAUAUCAUGUAUGCACUGCUCAAUAGAUAAUGUUAUUUUUGUUUUACUUCCA